CGGGUAAGUUCCGACCUGCACGAAUGGCGUAAUGAUGGCCAGGCUGUCUCCACCCGAGACUCAGUGAAAUUGAACUCGCUGUGAAGAUGCAGUGUACCCGCGGCAAGACGGAAAGACCCGUGAACCUUUACUAUAGCUUGACACUGAACAUUGAGCCUUGAUGUGUAGGAUAGGUGGGAGGCUUUGAAGCGUGGACGCCAGUCUGCGUGGAGC
rnacentral:rRNA from 1 species